GCUCAGAUUGAACGCUGGCGGCAUGCUUUACACAUGCAAGUCGAACGGUAACAGGUCUUCGGAUGCUGACGAGUGGCGAACGGGUGAGUAACACAUCGGAACGUGCCUAGUAGUGGGGGAUAACUACUCGAAAGAGUAGCUAAUACCGCAUGAGAUCUACGGAUGAAAGCAGGGGACCUUCGGGCCUUGUGCUACUAGAGCGGCUGAUGGCAGAUUAGGUAGUUGGUGGGGUAAAGGCUCACCAAGCCUGCGAUCUGUAGCUGGUCUGAGAGGACGACCAGCCACACUGGGACUGAGACACGGCCCAGACUCCUACGGGAGGCAGCAGUGGGGAAUUUUGGACAAUGGGCGAAAGCCUGAUCCAGCAAUGCCGCGUGCAGGAUGAAGGCCCUCGGGUUGUAAACUGCUUUUGUACGGAACGAAAAGCCUGAGGCUAAUAUCCUCGGGUCAUGACGGUACCGUAAGAAUAAGCACCGGCUAACUACGUGCCAGCAGCCGCGGUAAUACGUAGGGUGCAAGCGUUAAUCGGAAUUACUGGGCGUAAAGCGUGCGCAGGCGGUUUUGUAAGACAGUGGUGAAAUCCCCGGGCUCAACCUGGGAACUGCCAUUGUGACUGCAAGGCUAGAGUGCGGCAGAGGGGGAUGGAAUUC
rnacentral:rRNA from 1 species